CUGAGGAAGGUUUGUCUUGGUAAAUGUUCUGUGAGCGCAGAAUAAAAGAAUCUUAUUCUGCUGUUUGGUGGUGGAGUGUCCUGUGAAGUCAAUCAGUAGAAGGAAGACUUUGACUUCUGGCUCAAAUGGAAUAAUAGUGACCAGAUUUACCCUCCUGCCUGGUACAAACAAAAGUCCCGAAGAAACAAGACAAAAUAUAACAGUGAGUCUCAUAUACACCUGACAGCGGAGGACAGAGACCUAAGAGACUGGAGAAACCAAGGUCCAACAUCUCAAGAAAGCCACAAAACAUGGUCAACUCAAUUUCUGAGGCAAAUGCCUGAAGUGCCCACUGAGUCAUUAAGGACCAAGGAGAGUAAGGAAACCCAAUGUUCCUCGUGAGAAAGUGAUUUAGAAAUGAUCCCUUAAUUGGUCUUCAAGCUGGGGAAGACCUUGGUCACCUGUUUCAACUGUUUGGAUGAGGAAAUCAGAUCUUGGGAGGUAAGGACUAAACUCUGACCUUUUUUCUCUCUUACCCAUUCCUUACACAACUGUGACCUGAAUGCUUUCCUGCAGCACCCCCAGCAUUCCUUCCUGGUGAGAGACCACUGGCCAUGGAGGCUCUGGCCAGUCCAUGUAGGACACGCAGUGAGGGUUUCCUGUCUUCUGCUUCACCUUUGGAU
rnacentral:lncRNA from 10 species